UGUCCUCAUCAAAAAAGGGAUUUUUAGAGGUAUCACAGGUUACACUAUCUAUGCUUUUACGUAAAACUUUGAAAUGGGGAAGAUAUUGGAAUAUAACUAUGUAAGUAUGCAUAUAUAAUCGCAUUUUCAAGUAUGCAAUAUUUUAUCAUACUUAUUAUGUCCCUGCUACUAUCAAUUCCAGUUUGUUUCAAAAGGUGGAUAAAGGUGGGUAUUUAUCAUUUAUUUUUAAGAAAAUACUGUCUUUGGCACUGACACAGCUGUGGAUGCUUUCUAGAGUAAGAGGGAGGAAAUGAUAGUGUUAUCAAUGUUGUAUUAAUGCUGUAGUUAUCUUCCUUCACCUUCACAUCCCAAUUUUUAUUUUUGCAUAUUUGUAGUAUCGGGGUUUCUCUCUUUCUUGUCUGUUGUUUCUUUCCUUCAUCUAAGGAGGACUUAAACCACGAAAGAUCUUUCUCUCUUACACACAGAGAGGUCACCGCACCCUGAUCAACACAUGCAGCUGCCCAGUGUGUACAUGAAGUAUUUAAACUGCCGUGAAUUGUCUUUUAAAGAUUUCAUAGGGAGUGUACAUCCCAAUAUGAUUAUUUGCUCAUUAAUGCAAACAAAUCUUAAUUAAUCAAUGUGUAUAAAAGAAGCCUACGAUAGUACAAUACUAUUUGUCUAUGGGGAAAUAAUAAGUAUUGUUCGUGAUUUUCUAAAUAUUUCGUACAAGAGGCCGAUACGUUUUUUAGAUACUAAAUAUAUUACAGUAAUAUCAAAGCGUGAUGAGGAAAUUAACAAAAAAGUAACAGUAUGUGAUUUUCCUUUGUCAGAAAUAUAAAAAGUAUCACUUCCUUGAAACUGCGAGAAAAACAAGGUGUCCACUUCUUUGACACUGUUAUGUUAACAUAAUCAUUGAGUAUCAUGAGCUGUACAUACAGACGAGCAUUAAACAUAUAUUAGUACUUUGACGCUGGAGACAUUUAAAGACAUUUCAUACUGUGUUUGUUAUGUUGUUGAGUACUGUAAGACUGGUAAACACACACGAGUUUUAUCGAAAAAAAAAUCCAUGUCCUUCACCGAGGAUCUUAUUAUUCCUUGCUGCUUGGGAGGAGUAUGUUCUCUCUUGUGUGACGGGUAGUACUGAUGUUUACAUUUCCUUCUAGGUAACUCGAGUCGUAUGUAGUUUGCUUUAGUCGACUGAUUCAGAAACACAGGAAAUAUCUGUUUUAUUUCCGCGAGCUUGCGUGCUCUCGACUACAUUGUCUUGGUUAUUAGAUCAUCGUGUUUGACUAAAAUGUAUUUGUGUAACAGUCGAGAAGAUUAUUAUGCUAGUGGUGUUACAAUGUACACAAUUCUAAACAUUUCUCGCUGUCUUAUUAUCCUGUGGUUUGUGAUGUUGGCAACCGACACGAAGUGCCAGACGACAAAUAAACCAUGUGUUGAUCUACAACUCACCAGUGGUUCUGAAGACGAUGUGGUUCAGGAAACUGAGGACGGUGAUGUCCACAUAACCUUUGUGAUAUCAGACAACUGUACGGGCAGCUCCACUCGUGCUUUGGUAAAACUUUCAACACAAGGGGCAGACCUACUUGUUGAUUUUUGCACUGUUUAUUUUCAGAAUAACACUUGUAAUGUUACUGACAAGCCUUUAGGACAUCAUUGUAUAAAGACAGAACUUGACAGGUGCUCAGUCUCAUGGAAGGUCAAGACUACAGACAAGCUGUUGAAGCUGAGGCUGACGAAUAUAAUUACAAAGGAAGAAAAAGUCAUUUCGCUUAAUAUUACAGGGCCUCCCAGUAAAAAGCGAGGGACAGCAGAAAUCAUCGGGAUUUCUGUUGGGGUUCUUGUGGCUGUCAUUACUGUUGCUGUCCUCAUCAGAACAAUGAUUUUUAGAGGAGGCUGUAGUGAAAAACCAGUGACGGAACACAGUUCCUUGACUACCUGGCAUGUCUCGGUCAGACAGACCCACCGAAACACCGGGACAUCUAGAAGUCAGGCAAAGGUAGACAUCCAGUCGCCACCAGGUAAUCUAGAACCUUCUGAAAGUCAGCAGCUAGUUGGUCAUCAAACUAUAUCAUCUAUCUCUACCUUUUCAAAAAGAAUAGGUUGGGUGUGAACCAUUUUAUACUAAUAAGCGGUAAGUUCACCAGAAGUCUUGGAGAAGUAUACAAUUCAAUUAAGCAAUCAAAGCAUUAUAAUUUCAUAGGCCAGAGAAAACUGAAUAACUAUCGUGAAGUGUUACAGCAACUACUAGGGAUGCACAAAUACACUCAUUUACUCCACAUUAAAAAAAAUAUAGUAAUCAGAAGAGACGCAGAAUUAUUCAAGGAGGUUUAUUAACCAUCUGCUACUGCAACUCCCGUAAGUCAGACAGAAGUACGGAAUCAAAUAAUAGCCUCAAUUAACAUCAGAAAGGAUGGACGAGUAAUUAUUCGUACUUAACCAAGCCAGAAUAUUCUCGAAGACACAGUUACAAGAGAUUAUGCUUUUUCAUCCUCCCAGACGGAAUUAAGAACAACGAAACAGUACAGUCAUACAGUCAUGCUAUACUUAACAGGAAUUCCGAUUUCAUAACCAUGACACAGGUUUUUUUUACUGUUGUACUAUCCAGUACAACACAGUACAAAUACCAAAAUUAUCUGUAUUUGUUUUUUUGGGGAAAUGGAUUCUUUUAAAUUUUCUUCCAACUGUAACAUCAUGGUUAAAUCCUACAACAGAAGUUUCUUUAGCACUGACACAAUGGAGGAUGCUUUUUAGAGUAAUAAGGAGGACAUGAUAGCAUCAUUAUUGUUGUAUUAAGGCUGUCGUUAUCUUCCUUCACUUUCAUGUCCCCAAUUUCCUUUUUGCAUAUUUGUAGUAUCGGAGUUUCUCUCUUUCUUCAUGAUUUCUAUUUCCUUUAUCUAAGGAGGACCCGAAACACAAAAAUCUUUCUCUCUGUCCCUCUCUCUGUGCUCUAACACACAGAUCAGCACACACUCUGAUCAACACAUGCAUCUGCACAGUGUGUACAUGAAGUAUUUAACUGGCUCGACAUGUCUAUUAAUGAUAUAUUAUGGCGUGUAUAUCCCACUACGAUUAUUUGCUCAUUAAUACAAACAAAUCGCAACCAAUGUAUCCGAAAGAAGGCAUAGAUAGUUUCAUGUUAUUUAUCUAUGAUGAAAUAAUAGGUAUAAUUUGCUAUUUUCUGAAAGUUUUUACAAGGUUCCUAUACAUAUGUUAGAUACGAAAUGUAUUACAGUAAUAUACAAGGAUAGGGAAAUUAACAAAAAAGAACAGUGAUGUCCCUUUGUCAGAAACAUAGAAAGUAUCACUUAUUUGAAACUUCGAGAAAACAUGGCGACCACUUUUUUUGACACUGUUAAAUUACCAUAAUUAUUGCGUAGCUUGACUUGCACGUACAGACCAGCCUUAAACAUAUGCUAGUGCUUUGAUGAUGAAGACGUUUAUAGACAUCUCAUUUUGUGCUUACUACGGUGUUGGAGAUUCGAGAUCGCUGGCACAUGUAAGUAAUCUUAAAUAAUUUUUUUGUUUGGGGGGGGAGGGGGAAUCAUUGUACAUUUUCUGAUGUCUACGGUUUUCUUAUAAUAAUUGUAAACUCUAAGCACUUCCUUUAAAAUGGCUAAUUGAAUCUUAGACUAGAUGGUUCAGAGUGCGACCAGCACAUUUAAAAUGACAGUACUAGUGUUUCGUUAGUCUCGCAGUUCUUGAAGUUCUGUGUCCAGAACCCUUUCGCCCUACUUCAUUUAUUUUUUGUGUGUCCUAGAAAACCUUUAUAUUGAGGGUUACAGGGUAAAACAACAUCUAUAAGGUAUAGAAAGACACUUUAUAACCUUAAAAACAGGACAAUUAUUUUAAAGCUUGUUAUGUUGCCCCCUGGCAGCGAUCUCCUUAAUUAGUAAGGUAGGGGUGUACGUGUGUAUGUAUAGCUGCAUUUAAGAAUGCAAUCUCAUUAACGUUGCUUAUAGCAUAAUAUUUAACUUAUGCUAUACAAAUCUUGAAAUUGGGGACAGAAAAAGAUAAAAGUUACAUUAGCAAUUCUCUCUUUUUCUGUACAUUGCAUACAAGACUGUGUCUCUGUCUUUAGGAAAACAUUACAGAAAUAUGUAAAUUAAGAUAUGCAAAAUUCCACAUCCAGCAGGUAGGAAGUGGACUAUAUAUAUACAGGAUAGAGUGAUCUUUAGACUCCCUAUAUAACAUACGGACAUUUGUUAAAAAGUGAUCUCAACUCUACGGAAUGAACGGCUUGUAGUGCUGGGUGAGUUCGUCAGCCCCCUUCGUCGGUUAUUGUUUCAAUCAUGGGACGUUUGGGCUCUACAGUAUCCUUACUUGUGUUUUCACGGCAAGACUAGUUUUGUGGGCCCUAGAAGCAUAAAAUGUCAAAAACACAUGAGCUUCGUGGAAAAUAAGAUAGACUCCAUGUCCUUCAGCAAGAGUCCUAUAUAUUCCGCGCUGCAAGGGACUGGUAUGUUUAAUCUUGUGUGACAGCUGGUGUUUUUGUUAUAGCUGUAGCCUUUACUUUCUUAUACAACUGCUUAAACAUUUCCUUAUGGAAUACGUCUAGUCGCAUGUAGUAUUCUUUAGUCGACUCAUUCAGAAACACCGGAAAUAUCUGUUUUAUUUCCGCGAGCUUGCGUGCACGUGACUACAUUGUCUUGGUUAUUAGAUCAUCGUGUUCGCCUCAUGUAUGUGUAUGUGUAACAGUCGAGACGAGUGGUAUACUAGUGAUGUUACAAUGCACACAUUUGUGAACAUUUCUCGCUGUCUUAUUAUCUCGUGUUUUGUGAUGUUGGCAACCGACACGAGCUACCAGACGACAAAUAAACCAUAAUAACACUUGCAAUGUUACUGACAAGCCUAUAGGACAUCAUUGUAUAAAUACAAAUCAUAGCCAGUGCUCUAUCUCAUGGAAGGUCCAGACUACAGACAAGUUGUUGAAGUUGAGGCUGACUAAUAUAAUUACAAAGGAAGAAAAAGUCAUUUCGCUUAAUAUUACAGGAUCUGCCAAGAAAAAACAAGGAACACCAGAGAUCAUCGGGAUUUGUUGUGGAAUUGUUGUGGCUGUCAUUACUGCUGCUGUCAUCAUCAAAAAAUAUAUUUUUAAAGGAUCCUGUGCCAGGCAGUUACAGAUUCAAGUAAAAGAAGACAGACAAACGACUUCCUCCAAUGUCGGUGCCAGUCAGUCCCGACGAAACACUUGGUCAUCCUCAGGACGUCAGGCACAGGAAGACACUCAAGUGAGACCAAGUAGUCUUGACCAUCCUGGAAGUCAGCAACAACUAGUUAAUCAUCAAAAUAAAUCAUCCAUUCCUGCCAUUCCCAAAAGAAAGAGAAGAAUAUACGACCAUAUUGUCCAGCCAAGCGUUACAACCACCAGAACUGUUGAAGAUGCGUAUAGUCAUAUUCAACCAUCCACCCAUAAACCUCUAAGUAGACAGAAAGCUGUAAACAGUUAUAACCCUGACGCUAUAGCAACCAAAGGUAAGACACAAAAACACAGACAUGCUCCACUAGCAAGAAAUGUUGUAAUCAGAAGGGAGGCAGAACUGUAUAAUCAUAGUACAUCAUUCGCUACAACAACUGGUAGAAGCAAGAGAGAAGUACUCAGUCACACAAGCCCGAAUCCAUCUAACGAUUCAUUUACCAGAAAUCCUGGCCAGUUGCAAAUUCAUAAUACAUCCUCCUCCCUAAAAGAAUUAAGAAGCCCUGAACAAUUAUACAAUCAUGCUAUACCAUCUAGAAUGUCAGUUGGAUCCAGUCCGUCUGACUCAGGUUGUCUGACUAUUGUACAAUUCAAAACAGUUCCUCCCAUAAAACAAGAACAGUUAUGUAAUAAUAAUCCACUAUCAAGCUGUACAGUUGCCAGAAGUCUGGACCAGUUAUACAAUCAUAUAGGCAGCUCUUCAAGUCCCAGAAGUGAGAGAGACAAACAGAAUCCCACAACACAGCGCCCCUACUCAGUUGGUCAGGAACCUGUGCAAAGCGAGAGAACUCUUUACGAUCAGGCAGUGUUGCCAACAAAUUACCGACGACAAGUAGUCUGUUCAAUGUAUGAUUAUGUCAGCUACUAAACUUUCUUCAUGGUUGAUUAUUUUGCAUAAUAGACAUAAUUGCAGGCUGUUACUUAUUAAUAACUAAUUAAGAUGGUAUCUUGGCAAUAAGAAGCUUGUGGCUGGUUUUACAAUGCAAAGAAUGUUAAUGUUUUUAUUUUGUUAUUUGAUGAUUUAUUGACGUGAAUGCUAUAUAUAUAUAGUUAUAACUCGUGGGCAAAAUAUGUUAUAUCCUUCUUGCUUUGUUUGUUAUAUUAAAUCAUUUAAGAUGUAAGAGCAGGUAAAUCGUGAUGCAGGGUAGAAGCUCUCGUCACAGUUUAAAAUGUGUUUGUCCUCAGAAUAUUCUCAAUUGCUUGAUUUCUUUUAUUAAGCAUAUGAAAAAAUGAAUUAAUGUUUGUAGCGUCUUCUAUGAGGCUUGUUUACAUAAUAAGUAACAAAAAAGUUAAUUUUAUAACAUUCACUUUGGAGGAUUCUAUUGUUUUUGCUUUGUUUAAAAUCAUAUCUGGUCAUAAAUAAUGAAACAUUUAUGUUUGUGACACGUGCGAACAAUAAUUUCCUCUUUUAGUUUUAAAUUUAACUUUGUUUGGAGAAUACUUUUUUUAUGAAAUCUGCUAUUGUUUCCAGAAGGCCUUCCUUAUAAACAGUGUCAAUAAGUCAUAGAACUAUUUGUUAUUGUUUACAUAAACUUAACUAUUUCCUCAGACUAACCAAGCUUUUCAAAAAGUCAAGUUGUAACACUCUGGGGACACUCACACAUUUUUGUAUUAAAGUUAUAUGUAUUAAAGAAAAUUCCGAGACACGAAUUUUUUUC